AACAGAAAAAGCGCCAACGGACAGACAUCAUGCGCCGCUAAAAUCGUCUUCUCUCUCCCGAUCGCCGAUCUCCAUCUCUUGCCAACAUCCCAAGCGUCGACGGAUGGACAAUGGACAUCUCUUGUCGUCCAACUGUGGACAGGCGCGCCGGCUGCCGGCUCCUUUUUCUCUCCCCCCAACCGUUCCCCGUGCGCCUAUAAAUACCCGUCGUCUCCGCACGCCUCUUCCGCAAACCGAGGCCGGGGAUCGGACGCCUCUCCCGCCACCCCCCCUCUUCUCGCAGUUGAUGAGAUUUCUCUCCCUUCUACUCCCUCUCCGCGGAAACCCAAACCCUAGCUAUAGCUUCUUCUCGCUCUCCGCACCCUGAUCCCUUGCCUCCGCCUGCCCCCGAUUCAAUCUGUCGUCGUCGGUGCCUCCUCCGCCGUCGCCGUCGCCGUCGCCGUGGAUCUCGCCGAUCAGGGGGUGGAGUUGGAGUAGCAGGAGGGGUUAUUUAGUGGACAGGGAGUGUUUUGUGGGGCCAUCACUAUGAGUAUAGACAGCAGCAGAAGCCCUCCUCGAGGACGUCGGUUCCGAACCAAGCGCACGUCCUACCGUGAUGCUCCUUACAGGAGGGAACGCCGCAGCUACUGGUGAGCAUUCUUUAUUUAGGUUACUGGAUUUGCUUUCAAGUGUCCCAUUCUUGGAACUCUUAAUAGAUGGACUGUAGUUCCUUUCAAGAUCGAACGAAUUGAACCGGCACUUUGUAACUUAAGAGUCAGACUAUCCAUAUUUUUUUCAUUUUAAAUGUUGUGAAUUGCGAAAUCUCUUCUUUUCGAA